GUGCUUCUUCGGCAGCACAUAUACUAAAAUUAGAACUAUAGAGAGAAGAUUAGCAUGGCCCCUGCACAAGGAUGACACACAAAUUCAUGAAGCGUUCCAUAUUUUU
ensembl:snRNA Gm23733 predicted gene, 23733